AGGGACAUAGCUCAAUGGUAGAGCACAUGCUUAGCAUACAUGAGGUCCUUGGUUAAAUCCCUAGUACCUUCA
rnacentral:tRNA from 1 species